CAGUCGCCGCGGUAAUACGGAGGGUGCAAGCGUUAAUCGGAAUUACUGGGCGUAAAGCGCACGCAGGCGGUCUAACAAGUCAGAUGUGAAAUCCCCGGGCUUAACCUGGGAACUGCAUUUGAAACUGUCAGGCUGGAGUCUUGUAGAGGGGGGUGGAAUUCCAGGUGUAGCGGUGAAAUGCGUAGAGAUCUGGAGGAAUACCGGUGGCGAAGGCGGCCCCCUGGACAAAGACUGACGCUCAGGUGCGAAAGCGUGGGGAGCAAACAGGAUUAGAUACCCCUGUAGUCCCUGUCUCUUAUAU
rnacentral:rRNA from 1 species